rnacentral:rRNA from 1 species
UACAGAGGUCUCAAGCGUUGUUCGGAUUCAUUGGGCGUAAAGGGUGUGUAGGUGGCGCGCUAAGUCGGGUGUGAAAUUUCGGAGCUUAACUCCGAAACUGCAUUCGAUACUGGCGUGCUUGACGACUGGAGAGGAGACUGGAAUUCAUGGUGUAGCAGUGAAAUGCGUAGAGAUCAUGAGGAAGACCAGUGGCGAAGGCGGGUCUCUGGACAGUUCCUGACACUGAGACACGAAGGCCAGGGGAGCAAACGGG